rnacentral:rRNA from 1 species
GUUCUCUCCGAAACAGCUUUAGGGUUGGCGUCGCGUGUUCCCUCCGGGGGUAGAGCACUGGAAGAGAUAAAUAGGGAGAAAUCUCGUUAUUUCUAUCAAACUCCGAAUACCGUUAGGCCACAGCACGGCAGUUAGACUACGGGGGAGAAGCUCCGUUGGUCAAAAGGGAAACAGCCCAGAUCGCCAGUUAAGGUCCCUAAAUUCAUGCUCAGUGCAUCUUGAGGAGGUGAGGAUUCACCAACAGCCAGGAGGUUGGCUUAGAAGCAGCCAUCCUUUAAAGAUAGCGUAACAGCUCACUGGUCGAGAGUCCUUGCGCCGAAGAUGAUCGGGGCUCAAGCAUGAUACCGAAACUGCGGAUUCGUACACUUCAUAGAGGAAAGUUCUUAUAGGGGUUGGAGGAGUCGCUUAGACAAAUCCGGAAACGCGAGGGCGCCAAUCCGAGCGGGUGAGUCAAAUCUCACGACCCCUGCCAGUAGAUAUUCUGGCAAUUGCAAAUCUUUGAUUUGCAUCUUCUAUGAAGUGUACGAGUGGUAGGAGAGCGUUCGUAGCUGCGAUGAAUUCAAGGGGAGACCCGCGAUGGAGCGCUGCGAAGUGAGAAUGCCGGCACAAGUAACCGCAAGACGGGUGAGACCCCCGUCCGU